CGAGUAAGACAGACAGCCGCGUGGCGAUGCCGAAAGGCCCGCCAUGAGGAAAGUCCGGGCUCCACAGGGCAAGGAUAACGGGUAACGCCCGCCGAAGGCGACUUCAGGAAAAGUGCAACAGAAAUAAACCGCUGGCUUGUCCGCGUUUCUAUGCAGGCAACCGCCAGUAAGGAUGGAAAGGCGAGGUAAAAGCUCACCCAUCGGCUGGAGACUGUCCGAUGCUGUAAACUCUAUCCGGAGCAACACCGUGGGAGGACACAAGGCCGGCCCGGCCGUCCUCAGGAGGUGGCUGGAGCGGUCUGGCAACAGGCCGCCUAGAUAGAUGGCUGUCAGAUACAGAACCCGGCUUACAGUCUUACUCACCAA
rnacentral:RNase_P_RNA from 1 species